CCACAGAACUUUCCAGAGAUGGAUUGGUGCCUUCGGGAACUGUGAGACAGGUGCUGCAUGGCUGUCGUCAGCUCGUGUUGUGAAAUGUUGGGUUAAGUCCCGCAACGAGCGCAACCCUUAUCCUUUGUUGCCAGCGGUCCGGCCGGGAACUCAAAGGAGACUGCCAGUGAUAAACUGGAGGAAGGUGGGGAUGACGUCAAGUCAUCAUGGCCCUUACGACCAGGGCUACACACGUGCUACAAUGGCGCAUACAAAGAGAAGCGACCUCGCGAGAGCAAGCGGACCUCAUAAAGUGCGUCGUAGUCCGGAUUGGAGUCUGCAACUCGACUCCAUGAAGUCGGAAUCGCUAGUAAUCGUGGAUCAGAAUGCCACGGUGAAUACGUUCCCGGGCCUUGUACACACCGCCCGUCACACCAUGGGAGUGGGUUGCAAAAGAAGUAGGUAGCUUAACCUUCGGGAGGGCGCUUACCACUUUGUGAUUCAUGACUGGGGUGAAGUCGUAACAAGGUAACCGUAGGGGAACCUGCGGUUGGAUCACCUCCUU
rnacentral:rRNA from 1 species